GUGGAGCAAUCCAUGAGUAAAGUGGCGCACGGGUGAGUAACACGUGACUAACCUACCCAGGAGUGGGGGAUAACUGAGGGAAACCUUAGCUAAUACCGCAUAACACCUACGGGUCAAAGGAGCAAUUCGCUUCUGGAGGGGGUCGCGGCCGAUUAGUUAGUUGGCAGGGUAAUGGCCUACCAAGACGAUGAUCGGUAUCCGGCCUGAGAGGGCGCACGGACACACUGGAACUGAAACACGGUCCAGACUCCUACGGGAGGCAGCAGUGGGGAAUUUUGCGCAAUGGGGGAAACCCUGACGCAGCAACGCCGCGUGGAGGAUGAAGUCCUUCGGGACGUAAACUCCUUUCGAUCGGGACGAUUAUGACGGUACCGGAAGAAGAAGCCCCGGCUAACUUCGUGCCAGCAGCCGCGGUAAUACGAGGGGGGCGAGCGUUGUUCGGAAUUAUUGGGCGUAAAGGGUGCGUAGGCGGUUUGGUAAGUCUUAUGUGAAAUCUACAGGCUCAACUUGUAGUCUGCAUGAGAAACUGCCGGGCUUGAGUAUGGGAGAGGUGAGUGGAAUUCCUGGUGUAGCGGUGAAAUGCGUAGAUAUCAGGAGGAACACCUGUGGCGAAAGCGGCUCACUGGACCAUAACUGACGCUGAUGCACGAAAGCUAGGGGAGCAAACAGGAUUAGAUACCCUGGUAGUCCUAGCCCUAAACGAUGACUGCUUGGUGUGACGGGUACCCAAUCCCGCCGUGCCGUAGCUAACGCGUUAAGCAGUCCGCCUGGGGAGUACGGUCGCAAGGCUGAAACUC
rnacentral:rRNA from 1 species